GUGUGGCGCAACCAGAAAACCAGGCGUGGAAUAACGUGGGCGGGAUUUCAUUCAAGAUUUUUGCAGACAGUUGUGCAACAUAUUCAGUGGACAUAGUGAUGACUGUUGGAUUUGGUGCCUUAACUGCAAAUUUAAAGAAAGGAGGUCAGAGCCUAAUCAACACUGAGCUGUGACGGAAAACAUCAAAGCAGGGAA